UACAGAGGGGGCAAGCGUUGUUCGGAAUUACUGGGCGUAAAGGGCGCGUAGGCGGCCUGCUAAGUCGAACGUGAAAUCCCUGGGCUCAACCCAGGAACUGCGUCCGAUACUGGUUGGCUUGAAUCCGGGAGAGGGAUGUGGAAUUCCAGGUGUAGCGGUGAAAUGCGUAGAUAUCAGGAGGAACACCGAUGGCGAAGGCAGCCCCCUGGGCUAACACUGACGCUCAUGCACGAAAGCGUGGGGAGCGAACGGG
rnacentral:rRNA from 1 species